GGCUGAUCUGAGUGGAAUGGUGUUUACAAUUAAUUGAUUACAACCAGUUACAGAUUUAUUUAUUUCUCCACUCCCACUGCUUCAUUUGACUAGCCUUAA
rnacentral:Y_RNA from 1 species